rnacentral:lncRNA from 1 species
UAGUCGGCUGAAAGCCAAGUCUAGGCUAUGGGGAAACAUGCUUAUUUUCUGCAUUUACAUUUCUUACUGGUAUGUUCUAAUUAAGUUUUCUGCACCAGCAACAACAUGCUUAUUUACUAUUUCUCGCAUUCUUGACUACCUAUUGAUUGCAUUUAACACAGUAUCAUUAUUUAGCAUACUGUAAUUUACCUUUUCCUGUUACGAAUCAAUGUAUUAUGACCUGUGAAUCAUAAAUCCCUACCACUAUGUGUUUGAUACUUGUGGUUGGUUUGGGGCGUGACAACAUUGGACAUUAUUAUGCAUGACCCAAGCUUAAUCCUCUUAGGAACAUAACCUCCAUGUUUCUCUUAUAUGUUGUGUUUUCUAGUUGAUCUACAAGCAUGUCAGCACUUCCUACUAUUGUGCAUGCCCAAAGUCAACCCAUGCCUAAGUGUGAAAGCUCCUUGCAAUGGAUUCCCAAUCCCAUGUUCUCUUUUGUGUCAAGUUAUUGACUCCAUGAAAUAUUAAUGGAUUCCCUCCCAUCACCCCUCCCUCUCAUUUAUUCCCUCAGCUCUUAAAACUCUGUUUCUACAUUAUCACUCUCUUCUUAGACUUAAGUUCUACGACCUUCAUGUGAGCCUUGCCUUGGGACCUAUGAGUUCCAUAUGAACUUGGACACAUGAGGGUUGGCAUUUCCACACUACACUUAUCUCUGUUUUGGUUAUGUAACUUGGGUGUGAGUACUGCCCGAGAUCCUAUUGAGGCCCUUAGGGAACUCUGACACACCCAAGUCUGAGAAAGGCUUUCAAAUCAAUGGCAUUGGCAAUGAUACGGUUCCUUGCAUAUCUCAGAUAUGAAGUCAAAAUAGGAUUUCCUAUGGUCGUAGCUUUUUCUUUCAUUCUUUCUGAUGUAAUUUAGUAUUCCUGGUUUGUAAUAUUUUGAAAUGAACAUUUGGGGAUGGCUAGUGAAAAGGGUUGGGUGAUCAUGUGUGGUCAAGAUUAGAAAGCAUGCCUAUAGGACUAUUGAAAUUCUUUGUAUUCAAUUCUGCACAUUUAUUAGACACCAUGUCUAUAGGGUUUAUCUCAAUUUCUUCAUGGUCAAUGUCACACCUAGAAAACCUACCUAUAG